rnacentral:rRNA from 2 species
GUAAGCUAUUAAGAGCGAAU